rnacentral:rRNA from 1 species
UACGGACGGGGCAAGCGUUGUUCGGAAUCAUUGGGCGUAAAGGGCGCGUAGGUGGUUCUGUAUGUCUACCGUGAAAGCGUACGGCUCAACCGUAUUUUGUCGGUAGAAACUGCAGGACUUGAGGCUGGGAGGGGCUGGUGGAAUUCCCUGUGUAGCGGUGAAAUGCGUAGAGAUCAGGAAGAACACCGGUGGCGAAGGCGCUCUGCUAGGCCGCAACUGACACUAAGGGACGAAAGCUAGGGGAGCGAAUGGG